rnacentral:tRNA from 1 species
GGGGCUAUAGCUCAGCUGGGANNGAGGUCAGCGGUUCGAUCCCGCUUAGCUCCACCA